AAAAUGGUGUUUUUAGACACCCUUUCAUUUUCUAAUUAAAAAAAUGG
rfam:Angiostrongylus costaricensis strain Costa Rica genome assembly, scaffold: ACOC_contig0001568